AGGACGAACGCUGGCGGCGUGCUUAACACAUGCAAGUCGAACGAUGAAGCCUUUCGGGGUGGAUUAGUGGCGAACGGGUGAGUAACACGUGGGCAACCUGCCCUCCACUCUGGGAUAACUCCGGGAAACCGGGGCUAAUACUGGAUACGACCUGGGAUCGCAUGGUCCUGGGUGGAAAGUUUUUCGGUGGAGGAUGGGCCCGCGGCCUAUCAGCUUGUUGGUGGGGUGAUGGCCUACCAAGGCGGUGACGGGUAGCCGGCCUGAGAGGGCGAACGGCCACACUGGGACUGAGACACGGCCCAGACUCCUGCGGGAGGCAGCAGUGGGGAAUAUUGCACAAUGGGCGAAAGCCUGAUGCAGCGACGCCGCGUGAGGGAUGACGGCCUUCGGGUUGUAACCUCUUUCAGCAGGGACCAAGCGUGAGUGAGUGUACCUGCAGAGAAGCACCGGCUAACUACGCGCCAGCAGCCGCGGUAA
rnacentral:rRNA from 1 species